UACGUAGGGUGCAAGCGUUAAUCGGAAUUACUGGGCGUAAAGCGUGCGCAGGCGGUUGUGUAAGACAGAUGUGAAAUCCCCGGGCUCAACCUGGGAACUGCAUUUGUGACUGCACAGCUGGAGUGCGGCAGAGGGGGAUGGAAUUCCACGUGUAGCAGUGAAAUGCGUAGAGAUGUGGAGGAAUACCGAUGGCGAAGGCAGCCCCCUGGGAUAACACUGACGCUCAUGCACGAAAGCGUGGGGAGCAAACAGG
rnacentral:rRNA from 1 species